UCCUGGAGAAAGCACAACUUGCACCACCACGUAUGGGAAGACUUGCUGGGUUAAACCUGCUGAGAGGAACUUGCACGAUCAAGCCCUCUCGGAAAGCCUGGAAUGAAUCAGAACAGGAAAGCCAGAUGACAAAUGUGUAAGAGGGAACGAGAUGCCUUCAGUAAUAUUCCCAAAAUCUGUUCGGGUAAAUUCGUUACUCGAAACUACGAAAUUUCUCACGAAAUUACGUACUUCCGUUCAACCUUUCCCUAAUGACGCUUUCUGAGGAAAGUUACAAUUUCUACUCGUCCACUUGGUCCUGAGUCGCGGAAGAGGCAGCAGCGCCGAUCCAGUAGUCUAGCCCCCCGGUGUGUUUAGUGACGUGUCCAACCUUAGCUUAGCUAGUAGUUUGUGCGGUCCGAUUCUGUGUGCGAAGAGGAAUUAAAAGCCGACGACGGCGUUCUGUUCUAGAGUCGGAACCAACCGCCUCCUACCAGCUCGUGCUCGCCACACCGCCACCAAAAGCCUUAGCCGCCCUGCUGACCCCGCGGUCUCAGCGAUCGAGCCCCGGAAGUCCCACUGGGAUCCGGAAGGGAGACCACACGCUACACGUGGCUCCAGGGAGAGCCAUCCAUCGCGCCAGCCGUUCCUGUCCAGCCGCUGGUCCAGAUUCGCCGCAGGAGUUCACCAGACCGUAGACGUCGGUCCACGUGGUCACGCGCCGUCCAGGUUCCCGAAGGAGGCGACCCGU